UACAGAGGUCUCAAGCGUUGUUCGGAUUCAUUGGGCGUAAAGGGUGCGUAGGCGGCGCGGUAAGUCGGGUGUGAAAUCUUGGAGCUUAACUCCGAAACUGCAUUCGAUACUGCCGUGCUUGAGGACUGGAGAGGAGACUGGAAUUUACGGUGUAGCGGUGGAAUGCGUAGAUAUCGUAAGGAAGGCCAGUGGCGAAGGCGGGUCUCUGGACAGUUCCUGACGCUGAAGCACGAAGGCCAGGGGGAGCAAACGGGG
rnacentral:rRNA from 1 species